GAGGAAAAGAAACCAACAGGGAUUGCCUCAGUAGCGGCGAGUGAAGCGGCAAAAGCUCAAAUUUGAAAUCUGGCGUCUUUGGCGUCCGAGUUGUAAUUUGAAGAAGGUAUCUUUGGGCCCGGCUCUUGUCUAUGUUCCUUGGAACAGGACGUCACAGAGGGUGAGAAUCCCGUGCGAUGAGAUGACCCGGGUCUGUGUAAAGUUCCUUCGACGAGUCGAGUUGUUUGGGAAUGCAGCUCUAAGUGGGUGGUAAAUUCCAUCUAAAGCUAAAUAUUGGCGAGAGACCGAUAGCGAACAAGUACAGUGAUGGAAAGAUGAAAAGAACUUUGAAAAGAGAGUGAAAAAGUACGUGAAAUUGUUGAAAGGGAAGGGCUUGAGAUCAGACUUGGUAUUUUGCAUGCUGCUCUCUCGGGGGCGGCCGCUGCGGUUUACCGGGCCAGCAUCGGUUUGGAGCGGCAGGAUAAUGGCGGAGGAAUGUGGCACGGCUUCUGCUGUGUGUUAUAGCCUCUGACGAUACUGCCAGCCUAGACCGAGGACUGCGGUUUUUACCUAGGAUGUUGGCAUAAUGAUCUUAAGUCGCCCGUCUU
rnacentral:rRNA from 1 species